UACGUAGGGUGCGAGCGUUAAUCGGAAUUACUGGGCGUAAAGCGUGCGCAGGCGGUUUUGUAAGCCAGAUGUGAAAUCCCCGGGCUUAACCUGGGAAUGGCAUUUGGGACUGCAAGGCUGGAGUGUGGCAGAGGAGACUGGAAUUCCUGGUGUAGCAGUGAAAUGCGUAGAUAUCAGGAGGAAUACCGAUGGCGAAGGCAGGUCUCUGGGCAGUAACUGACGCUGAGGAGCGAAAGCGUGGGGAGCGAACAGG
rnacentral:rRNA from 1 species